rnacentral:misc_RNA from 1 species
GAUGAAGAACGUAGCGAAAUGCGAUAAGUAAUGUGAAUUGCAGAAUUCAGUGAAUCAUCGAAUCUUUGAACGCACCUUGCGCUCCUUGGCAUUCCGAGGAGCAUGCCUGUUUGUGUGUCAUUAAAUUCUCAAGACCUGUCUGCUUUUUUGAUAGGUAUUGGAUUUUGGGGGUUGCAGGCUGUUUCAAAUAAAUAGCCUUGCUCUCCUUGAAUGUAUUAGUGGAGAAAAGCCAUUGAACUCCAUUGGUGUGAUAAAACCUAUCAAUGCCAGGAGCAAUAUCACUACUUCUCUCUGCUGUCUAACUGUGACUGUCUGUAUUAAUUAGUAUGGAUGGGGACAACUUGACCAACUUGACCUCAAAUCAGGUAGGACUACCCGCUGAACUUAAGCAUAUCAAUAAGCGGAGGA